rfam:Nicotiana sylvestris Nsyl_contig8263, whole genome shotgun sequence.
UUGUGUGCGGCGAGGAAGCAAAUAUGUGUACUAGAGUUUCUGAUAUGGGGUUUCAAACCCCCAAUGGUUGAAGACAAACCCUUGGCUGUCUGAGCACACUU